UCCUUCUUCCUCCACCAAAGGAGAUAUGCCAUGCAUUUGACAAAAUGAUGAGCUCAUACCAAUCGAGGCUUGGAUUCAUGCCACACUGAAGCAAGACGUACUCCCACGAUGCCAAGGUGAUGCGGUGAGCUGGUGAAGCGGCAGCCACUUAUCUUUCCAAAGAUACUGCUUCAACGGAGACCAGGCAGCUGCACAGUGGUCCCAUUCUAGGGGCGCCUGCGACCGAGCUGCUCUCCUUGCCCCGUGCACACCCCUUCCCUUGGCACACCAGCGAGCGAGGUACGCAAAGGGAGCACAGGCUACAUCGACGUGGGGACGGUUUCACCAGGACAGGACUGCUGGUGUGCCGCACCAGCAAAGCACUUCUGUGGAUGCAGCCAUACUUGCCAAAUUGUUUAGUGUAAGUAAAAGCGCCGCCUUUCCCCUCCCUCUUCCUGCCACCAAAGCAAAAC